UACAGAGGGUGCGAGCGUUGUCCGGAAUCACUGGGCGUAAAGGGCGCGUAGGUGGUUGGGGAAGCGUGUGGUGAAAGCCCGGGGCUCAACCCCGGGUCGGCCAUGCGAACUGCCCGACUGGAGCACGGUAGAGGCCAAUGGAAUUCCGGGUGUAGCGGUGGAAUGCGCAGAUAUCAGGAGGAACACCAAUGGCGAAGGCAGGUCUCUGGGCCAAUACUGACACUGAGGAGCGAAAGUCUGGGGAGCGAACAGG
rnacentral:rRNA from 1 species